UCACUAGCUCUGAACUGAGUAUAAAAUAAAGUUAUACGCUGUGCAUACACUUUCAUAAAAUGGAUGGAUGUUAUUUAGUGAACACAAUGAAUAUAUACAGUAUAUAUAAAUGGGUAAAAAUCCAAUAUGCUGCAGAAAUGAGACCUACAUGCAGAUGUCAAUCAAAACCUGAGCAGCAGUAUGAAAGAAACUUAAUCUAAAAGUACUUGUAUGAAUUUUUAACUGCAAAUAUUUACACACUGCGACAUUUAUUUCAGUAACGGCACUGUUAAUACAUUUAAUAGACUCUAAUCUAAAUCAUCAUCAUCACUGACUAGUCAUUAAUUCAACUAAUCACAAAGAGAAACAAAUUAGUUUAAAGGUACACAGCAAAUUGAGGAGUGUUAAUUUUUUGGUGUUGAUGAGAAUCUUGAAGUUGGAGUGUCAAUCUUACACUAUUUGGAGUUGAUCUAACACUGCAUUUUCUUAAAAAUGUUAAAUUUAACACUGGAUCAUGAAAGUGUUGUAGUUAAAAUGGAGUGUUGAAAAUGUUCAAAUCUUGUUAGUGUCACAAUAAAGACAUUCAACACUUCCACACUCCAUUUAACGCCUAACAGUGUUCACGUGUCUUAAGCUCCGCCCACGGACAUUUCAUUUAGACUCCACCCCUCACUUCACGUUGCUGAAAUGAAAAGCAGAUGGAAGAAGUUGACUGUUAUGAAUCAUUUUGCAUCAGUAGUGUUGCUGUGAGCUGAAUCGGCACUGCCUGUGCAACAUUUGGCAAAAAAACCUUUGCUUGAGUCUUACAUGAAUGUGAGGUGGAUGGAGAUGUCUUUGAUGAGCUUGUCAGGUCAGGUGUUUUGACUUUCAAGGUCAUUUUAUCAGUGACAGGUAAGGAUGUGAAAACAUUUGAAAAUGCAUGAGGUUGUUUAGAUAUCACAGGCAGUGUGGACCCCAUCAGGUACCUUGGUUUUGUCCAAAUGAGAUAUUGUUGUCAUGAUCUUUGAGACCUCAAAAUGUAUUUUUGGUCUCACUUUACAAUAAGGUACACAAAAAUACAGUAGUUACUGAGGAACUAAUUACUAAAGCACAAAUUUACAAUAGUAGAGGAUCUAAUGAACUAAAAAGGAACCAAUGAGCAGAGUAGUUACUGAGUAGUUACUGAGGAACUAAAACACAUACAUUUAGAGUAGUUACUAAUGAACUAAUGAAGAACUAAUGAGUAGUGGAUAGGGUUAGAUAGGUUUGUUCCUCAUCCUGCACGACUGUAAUUUUGUGUACCUUAUUGUAAAGUGAGACAGUAUUUUCAUUUGAUAUUCAAUUUUUAGCUCCUUUUCCAUAGGUUGAAAUUCCCCCAAAUUAUUUUUUUUGUUUUAGUAGUAAUUAGUGUUUUGUACUGUUUUGUAGAGUAAGAGAUUCAUUUGACUGGAGAUGAAGCAUCCUCCUCUGUACAGACUCCACUAUCCCCAGCUUCACCCCAGUUAUCGCCAGUUGGUGGCGAUAACGGGUUCGACAAUUUAUCCUUCAGCCCACAAGAAAGAGGAACCCAACAGAACCAGUGGAUCAGGAUGAAUCAAGACAGAAAGUCGGUGGUGUUUUGAGGCCCAAUCCGAAAGGAGGGUUCCGCCAUCAUGUGUGAUGACAAAUUACACCCUGAGAAUUGUGACUUGACUUGAUUUCCAUACCUCAAAGGUCCGUUCUCCAAACCCGGAUAUAAUGCUUACAUUAGCGGCAGUGGCUCAGGAGGUAGAGCAGGUCGUCCAGAAAUCGUAAGUUGUUCCAAGACUUUCUUCAGGAUGGUCCAAAAACCAGAGGAGAAUAUCUGUUAACUGGUCAACAGCUGCUUGGUGAGGAGUGCAAGGAGGCGCUAUCUACAGUAAGACAUUCAGCCGAUGAAUCCAUGGUCAAAGAAGAUGAGAGCAACUUUCCAGUAUCGACAGAAUAUGAUCCAAGCACAAGAUGUAUCAUCAUCUGUCCUCAAUGUGUUCACUCGCUUCCUUGAUGUUCCUGGAUUGAUGAACCAGGAUUUCUCAAUGAUGUUUGCUGAUGAAGUAUCUCAGAGGUUCCUGGCUAAGUGGUCAACUGUCUUCAAACCAAAAGUCAUUGCAGAUUGCAAGACUCUCCCGCAAAAGCAGAACAUUGAUGAGUUGCUGUCAGGAACUGAACCCCAACCUGAUGACAGCUGUGGCUGGGGCAGUGAUGCAUCCUCCGUCCUUCUACUCCUGCAUCUGCUCCCUCCGACUUCUAGAGGCCAGGAAAAAAACAGCAAAGAUCAGUUUGGCUUAAGCAGCCAACCAUCUUCUCAGACAUCUUAAGGAAGGAGCCAGUGUGACCCCCUUCCAAGACUGUUGACACAAGACAACCAUUUCUCCUCUGCAUCAGUGAGCAAAGGUGACAUCCAGAGGUUCUACAUUAUUGACCAAAAGCCGGUUCCAUGCAAGGCACAUACAUUUAUUGCAGCUUUUGAUGAACUGUUCAAAGCUCACUAUGUCUUCAGUCUCUCGUAUGGUUAAAACUGGAUAAGAGCAAACAUUUGGGUCUGAAUGCUGCCCAGUCAUGGAGUCUUCUAUGGAACACUCCACUUAUAUUUGGUGAUGUCAUUGAAAGGAAGAAUGAUCACUGGAACUUCCUCCUCCUUUUGAUGCAGAUUAUCAACAUAGUGUUCUCCUACACCAUAACUGAUGGAAUGAUCCUUUACUUACAACAUCUGGUAAGUGACCACCACACUCGGUACAAAGCAUUGCUUCCUGGUAAGAAGUUGGUUCCCAAGCACCGCUUGGUGAUACACUAUCCAAGAUGCAUACAAAACAUUGGCCCCCUUAUCCAUACGUGGUGCAUGUGUUUUGAAGCCAAACACAAUUCUUUCAAAAGGUGUGGUUAAAAAUUGUAAAAAUCUCACAAAGUCGUUUGUCGUGGCCUUUCACUAUGAAAAUGAUAAGUUUAGAAGAUUUGCAUUUGGCCCUACAACAUCAAAAACAAUCUGCAACUUGAAAGGCGGGGAGGAUAGUGGUCAGGCAUGAUGUCUGCAAGCAUCUUCCAAGUGUGUCAAGUACCAACUGGGUGAGAAGCUACAGUAUAGAGUACCAAGUUGGUGUGUUCAUAUGUACUGGGUGUAGCUUUGAUCUACCUGUGUUCAAGAAGAUCUGGGAUAUAUUAAUACACAAAGAAUGUGCUUUCAUAAUCACCUGUAAUGUAGAAAGGAUGUACUAUGACCAAAUGCUUGAGUUUUCUGUCAUGUUUAAAUGAACUGACUCAUUUCAGACCAUUUGACAAGCAGUGCUCUAAUGACAAGUGUCAAGGAGCAUACAUACUGUAGUGCCCUGCUGUUAUUUAAGCUACUGUCUGUUGGAAAUGAAAUGUUUUUGAAUAAAAUGUAUGAAGCCGUCAA